CGCACAUUGCGCCCCCUGGCACUCCGGGGGGCAUGCCUGUUCGAGCGUCGUUUUGCGGUCAGGCUUCGGCUUGGUGUUGGGGAGCGUCGACGACGUCCCCGAAAGGCAGCGGCGGCGCGACCCGGCUUCCGACGUAGCAGACUAUCGGAGAAGCCGGGGCGUCCGCCCACCAACGAACCUCCGACCUCGGAUCAGGUAGGGAUACCCGCUGAACUUAA
rnacentral:misc_RNA from 1 species